rnacentral:rRNA from 1 species
CCUACGGGUGGCUGCAGUGAGGAAUAUUGGUCAAUGGACGCAAGUCUGAACCAGUCAUGCCGCGUGCAGGAAGACGGCUCUAUGAGUUGUAAACUGCUUUUGUACGAGGGUAAAUCCCGAUACGUGUAUCGGGUUGAAGGUAUCGUACGAAUAAGGAUCGGCUUACUCCGUGCCAGCCGCCGCGGUAAUUCGGAGGAUUCAAGCGUUAUCCGGGUUUAAUGGGUUUAAAGGGUGGCUAGGCGGGUCGAUAAGUUAGAGGUGAAAUCCCCGGGCUUCACCCCGGCAUUGCCUCUGAUACUGUUGGGCUAGAGAGUGGUUGAGGUAGGCGGAAUGUAUGGUGUAGCGGUGAAAUGCUUAGAGAUCAUACAGAACACCGAUUGCGAAGGCAGCUUACCAAGCUACUUCUGACGUUGAGGCACGAAAGCGUGGGGAGCAAACAGGAUUAGAUACCCCUGUAGUC